rnacentral:rRNA from 1 species
AGAGUUUGAUCAUGGCUCAGAACGAACGCUGGCGGCAUGCCUAACACAUGCAAGUCGAACGCGUGGCUUCGGCCACGAGUGGCGCACGGGUGAGUAACGCGUGGGAACCUGCCCGGCAGUACGGGACAACCGCGGGAAACUGCGGCUAAUACCGUAUACGGCCUGAGGGCGAAAGAAUUUCGCUGUCGGAGGGGCCCGCGUCGGAUUAGGUAGUUGGUGGGGUAACGGCCUACCAAGCCUGCGAUCCGUAGCUGGUCUGAGAGGAUGAUCAGCCACACUGGGACUGAGACACGGCCCAGACUCCUACGGGAGGCAGCAGUGGGGAAUAUUGGACAAUGGGCGCAAGCCUGAUCCAGCAAUGCCGCGUGAGUGAUGAAGGCCUUAGGGUUGUAAAGCUCCUUCGCCCGCGACGAUGAUGACGGUAGCGGGAGAAGAAGCCCCGGCUAACUCCGUGCCAGCAGCCGCGGUAAUACGGAGGGGGCUAGCGUUGUUCGGAAUUACUGGGCGUAAAGGGCGCGCAGGCGGCUGCUCAAGUCAGGCGUGAAAGGCCUGGGCUCAACCCGGGAAUUGCGCUUGAGACUGGGCUGGCUUGAGUGCGGGAGAGGAUGGUGGAAUUCCCAGUGUAGAGGUGAAAUUCGUAGAUAUUGGGAAGAACACCGGUGGCGAAGGCGGCCAUCUGGACCGCAACUGACGCUGAGGCGCGAAAGCGUGGGGAGCAAGCAGGAUUAGAUACCCUGGUAGUCCACGCCGUAAACGAUGAGUGCUAGACGUUGGGAAGCCUAGCUUUCCGGUGUCGCAGCUAACGCAUUAAGCACUCCGCCUGGGGAGCACGGCCGCAAGGUUAAAACUCAAAUGAAUUGACGG